rnacentral:rRNA from 1 species
CCUACGGGGUGCAGCAGUGAGGAAUAUUGGUCAAUGGACGAGAGUCUGAACCAGCCAAGUAGCGUGAAGGAUGACUGCCCUAUGGGUUGUAAACUUCUUUUAUAAAGGAAUAAAACGAGGCACGUGUGCCUUUUUGCAUGUACUUUAUGAAUAAGGAUCGGCUAACUCCGUGCCAGCAGCCGCGGUAAUACGGAGGAUCCGAGCGUUAUCCGGAUUUAUUGGGUUUAAAGGGAGCGUAGAUGGGUUGUUAAGUCAGUUGUGAAAGUUUGCGGCUCAACCGUAAAAUUGCAAUUGAUACUGGUAGUCUUGAGUACAGUUGAGGUAGGCGGAAUGCGUGGUGUAGCGGUGAAAUGCUUAGAGAUCACGAAGAACCCCGAUUGCGAAGGCAGCUUACUAAACUGUGACUGACAUUGAUGCUCGAAAGUGUGGGUAUCAAACAGGAUUAGAUACCCGGGUAGUC